CGAGCUGUGUCAAAAACUGAAUACUGAUUCUUAUAAUCACAUUCACAAAUAGGUGGACGGGCUGUUCAUUUUUCAUUUUAGAUAUUUAUAUAUAUAAAUUUUUUAAUCUUGAAUGAUUUGUUAAGUAAUAUUGUUUUAAAAAUAUAAAUAAGUUUAUUCAGGUUGCGGUACAUACGAAGAAGGAUCCUGACUAAAUGGAAGGAGCUUUGUAUCCAGCGGAGGAAGGAAGAAAGGAAAACAAUUUUGGUGUGUUACACAUAUUCACACUAUUUACCACGGGUAGUGUUCUGAAGAGCUGUUUGACCUGAUGCCUGCUGCCCGAUUCUCUUUCGCGCAACAUGUCUCAAUUUAGCAUAUCAUCCCCAACAACAAGGAACUUUCUUCCAUGUUCAACAAAACUGUGGAAGUGUCUUCCUCUACCAUAACAAAAGUUUGUAAUGAGGGGAAACACACAAAUGGGACCGAGAGAUAGGUAUUUCACAGCACAAAUGAUUAGGUACCUAUUAUUAUAAAGUUGAAGCUAAUAAGUGUCUGUAGAUUUUUUUUUUAUUCACAUACAUUGUGAAGGAAGAUAUCCUUUCCAAUACAAUCAUGUCAUACUAGAUGUUCAAGAAGACAUGAAUAUUUCAGUAUGUGCAAUAGAAUUAAACACAAGAGUGCCAAAAGUACAGUGCAGUGAAUCUUGCGAAAAAAUCGUCUACACCAGCAAGUACAAAGUCAAUUCAGGGAAGAGAUGUCAACGAUUUGUCAGUCUGCAGACCAGUGUUUGAGAAUUUUUGUUCUCAUUUAGAAGUGUGCCGAAGUCGCGUUGGAGGUCAUUAAAUCACAUUAUAUUUAAAAAUUAAACUCCUGUCCAUUUGCUAUCUCGACAAUAAAUUCUUUUUUUAAUA